UCAAGGGCAGGAGGAGGAGAAGGAGGCGGAUUUAGAAGAAGGAGAAAUCAGAAGCAACAGCAGAAGAAGAAGCCUCAGGGUGUGAGCAGCAGGAGUGCGAGCUGCUGGGACAGAGCAGAAAGGACCCUGACAGAGCAGAGGGAAAGAAGCCACCAGAGAGACAUCCUAAGAAGGCAACUGCUGUGCAUGGCAUGAACUCCUUGAGCUGUGUAGAAGAUCUUCAGGACAUGUGAAGUAUCUGAGGGCCAACACGAUUAACAUCACUCACAUGUGGUUCAUCCUUUCCGCAGUGGUGGAAUUGUGCGUACUGUGGAGUGUUUUGUUUCGGUAGGGUUUUUAUUUUGUUUUUGUAUACACACUGCUAUAUGUUUGUGUUAGA